GCCUGGGUGGCUAGGCCAGUGAAGCGUCUGACUUCAGCUCAGGUCAUGAUCUCGUGGUUCGUGGGUUCAAGCCCCACAGUGGGCU
rnacentral:tRNA from 1 species